rnacentral:rRNA from 1 species
AACGAACGCUGGCGGCAUGCCUAACACAUGCAAGUCGAACGAGACCUUCGGGUCUAGUGGCGCACGGGUGCGUAACGCGUGGGAAUCUGCCCUUGGGUUCGGAAUAACUCUCCGAAAGGCGUGCUAAUACCGGAUGAUGACGUAAGUCCAAAGAUUUAUCGCCCAAGGAUGAGCCCGCGUUGGAUUAGCUAGUUGGUGAGGUAAAGGCUCACCAAGGCGACGAUCCAUAGCUGGUCUGAGAGGAUGAUCAGCCACACUGGGACUGAGACACGGCCCAGACUCCUACGGGAAGCAGCAGUGGGGAAUAUUGGAAAGUGGGCGAAAGGCUGAUCCAGCAAUGCCGCGUGAGUGAUGAAGGCAUUAGAGUUGUAAAGCUCUAGUACCCGGGAUGAUAAUGACCGUACCGGGAGAAUAAGCUCCGGCUAACUCCGUG